GUAAGAAAACUUCAUUAGAAUAGUAAAUAGAUAUUAAUGGAGUUUCAAUCACAAAUUAUAACUUUUGAUCUUCUCUCCAAUCUAUCAAAAUCCUAGAAAACCUUGCUGUGAAAAUAAUAAAACUAGAAAAGCACACUUUGCCACUAACAUGGUGGCAAAGCUAAUAUAAUUAGGUUAAAACUCGUCAGGGGAAAUCUUGUCAAUUGGUGAAGACUUGGGCUUCAAGUUGGCUGUGACCAAACGGGAUUUCUGCGCGCUUCGCUGUCGAUCGAUGUCAAGAUAUGAUCAUCGAUCGAUUAUUCCUCUCCAAUAUCGACCGAUGGUCGAGCUCGAUGGUCAUCUCGGGUGCUUGCUCCAAAUAUCUCCAAAAUGUUCCAAAAUCAUCCUUAUCUCCAAAUCACUCCU
rnacentral:lncRNA from 1 species